rnacentral:rRNA from 1 species
ACGCUUGAAGUCAGUCGCGUUAUCCAGGGAUCAACCUUGCUUUUGCUUGGUGUAUUUUCUGGUUGACGGGUCAACAUCAAUUUUGACUAUUGGAAAAAGAUCAAGGGAAUGUGGCAUCUUCGGAUGUGUUAUAACCUUUGGUUGUAUACAAUGGUUGGGAUUGAGGAUCUCAGCACGCCGCAAGGCCGGGUUAUCAACCACGUACGUGCUUAGGAUGUUGGCAUAAUGGCUUUAAUCGACCCGUCUUGAAACACGGACCAAGGAGUC